GGUGACUUUUAAAUAAUGAAAAUAACUAAAUAUUACGUACAAUGCAACGGCAUUUUUAUGUUAAAUAGGCCUACUUAAAUAGGAAGCAGUAAGGCUUAUUCACGCUGUACAGUGCCAGAAACAGGUUGAGAUAACGAAAAGGGAAAAAAGGUGAGAAAAACGGGAGGAAACCGGGAGAGGGCAAUGAAAAACAGGAGUCUCCCGGGAAAAUCGGGAGGGUUGACAAUGGCAUGCAAUAUGUGCAUAUUUGCAUAUGCAGUGGUGUGAACAUAUAUGAAAAUUCAAAAUGUUUUUUUUAAUCUAUCUAAAUUCUAAUAACAUGUAGAAACAUAUUGAUCAGUUUUGAAAUAAAGUUUCUGUUUUCUGUUGGGAUUUCUGGUGUUAAGUGAUAAGGAAACAGGAAAUACACACCUACAAAUGAAAAACAGUUGGAAGGCCAAUGACUGCACUUAAUGACUCUUUAACUUCCCAUUUAUGUCCAUAAUAAAUAAGUCAUUCUGCCACACUUCAUCCUGGCAUCAAACAGAGGAAAUCUCUCUCUCUCUCGCUCUGUCUCUAGAAGAAAACUAUGUCAACUGCAAAUGAGAAGCCCCAAAACGCCUCAUGAACAAUAAACCAGUGGGUUAGUCAGAGAAAUGUGAACUCCUGUAGACUUAAAGCUGCCAGGUUGGGUAACAUCAGCCUGACCUAAGUAAAGCCUGCUGAGAAAUUAUUUAAGGAUUCCUUUUUCUUCCUGUGACAUUUAAAAUGUUUUGCUAUCUGACGUCUUACAAUGACGAAAAUCCCUUCAGUGUUUUGCAAUGGAUGUCAUCAGCAGUGGUACAUAGAAAUAGGUUUAUUUCAACCUUGUAAGCAGGGCACUGGAUCACUGGGAGCUGAAAACAUGGAAGCAGCAUUCAAGAGCGCCAGGAAACAUUUUAUGGUCCAAAGACUCCCUACUGUGACCCUUCAUGGACUCCACAAAGAAGAAGAAGAAGAAGAAGAAGCGCCUUUGAAAAUAAUUUCCUUUAGGGCCAAUAGAGCAAAUCUAAAGUGUAGUUGUACCAACUACUCUGGAUCGAUUGCCAUUAAAAUUGAUUCAUGUCCCUUAAAAGAUGAAUUGUAAUAGUUAGUUAUCAAUACACAGUGAGAUGUUCCAAAAACAUCUGCGUGUGUGUGUGUGUGUGUGUGUGUGUGUGUGUGUGCGUGUUCUGAAAUGCACUUCAAAUUAGCCUUUUUCUCUUGAUUUGUCACUUGCAUUGUUUUAUGUAUAUCUUGUGUUGAUAUUACGGGUAUCAGAAGUUUCAUCACGAUACAAUAUUAUAUCGAUGCUUUGAACGAUAUUUGAUGAUAUCACAAAGUUUAAUUCAAGGGCCUGCCGAUCAAUAUGAGACAAUAUCAUAUUACUGGGCUCUGUAGGAAGGAGGUGCACCUCGACGAAAUGGUGACACAGUCGUGCCAUGGGAAAUUUCAAAAUAAAGACGUGUCUUAAAGAUGAUGAUAUGUAUCAAUGUUUUCACUUUGCAUCAAUGAUUUUGGAUCGUUCCUCAUUGAAUCGAUAUAUCGAUCCAGAUCAAUGUAUCGUUACAUCCUUAGUUGAUAUGGUGCACAAAUUUUUAAUACAAGUCUAAUAUAUUUUUUAAUACAUAUCUCUUCUAUUGUUCUUUUACAUAACUAAGGACUAUAGAAGUGUAAAAAAUAGGCUACAUCAGAUAAUUCCAAGGUAUAUACACGAGGGGGUCCCCUAAGGGGUCCUUGGCUGACAAACAAUUGAAAACCUCUCUUCUAAAGUGAUGUCUUUGAAUAACUCAAAAAGUUUAAUGGCAUAUUAAUGCAGGAACAGCUGCCGAUUGUUAUGUAAAAUAACAAAGACCAACCUGUAUGAAUUAAAUGAUGUUAAAUGGUAAAUGGACUUGCAUUUAUAUAACGCUUUUUCUAGUCUUCAGACCACUCAAAACGCUUUACACUACAUGUCAGCAUUCACCCAUUCACAUACACAUUCAUACACUGAUGGCAGAGGCUGCCAUGCAAGGCACCAACCUGCCAAUCAGCGUUCAAAAUACAAAGAAGAAUCUGUGCCACAAACUUAUGUGGUCGCUUACACUUUAUACACAAAACAAUGAUAAAAAGGGAACAGUGAUGAUAUAGAAUAAUCCUGAACUAAACUGUUGCUAUGCCAGCAACCAACAAGUGUGAGACAUCUAAGAUUCAUAAAGAUCUCCCACAUUUUACUGCAUUAUUCACCAUCCGCCUACAUAGAGAUUAGUUCUGCUCUUUUAUGUAGGUCAUGCUAUUGGAUGAUGAGAUGACAUUUAGUUCUCAUAAGCAGGCCUCACUACAUAAUAAAUGUUCAGCAUUGGGUGCUUUACAUCCUGUACCUUUGUUCAGACUGCUCUCGCCUUUACAUCUGUGAAAAACGGGAUUAUUUAGAUAAUCACUCAGACACUAAGCCAUGUUGCCUCCAGCUACAUCUGUGAUACUGGUAUUGCUGAUGUCAUCGUGGCCCUCUGCUGAAGCACUGACUGUCAUUAAUUAGACUGUGGCACUGCUGUUCGCUCUGUGUUCCCAUGGUAACAAUGUGUGGUGUCUACUUUUCCCCAACCAAGGCAGCUAUGUCCAUCAAGCCACUGGUUUCCAUUUUCUUUAGGUCCAGGAGAUUUUUCAUGCACUCCUCAGUAGCCCAUUUGUUAGUCUGAUUAAUAUUAAUAAAGUGGCAGGCAACCUU